GAUAAAUGGCGGUGUGCUGCUUGGCCGCACACAGUGGCUCGCUUGUGGGUGUGCUGGCAGCAUAUAGCAGCUUUUUGAUUGUGCGUCAAUUCAAGAUAGCAAGUUUGUAUGAAGGUUUGGUUCUUACAUUGAUACAGAGAGCUGCUAAGGCCUGUCUGCAGAUGAAGAGGUCCCAAUGAAGAGCAGUGGUUCUCAGUCUUGGUCCUGGGGACUCGAAGGGAUACCUUGCAAUUGAAGAUUCCUUCAAAACAAAUGUAUAUAACUACCCUACAGUUGCCAUGCAAGGCACUGCAAGGUUGGGUGACCAGGGCCAUCUGGGACUGCCUCCUAGGGGAAUUUAGCAUGUGAAGGCUACCUGUUUCCUGCAUAACUUUAUGAGGAUGGACACGAGGACCAGGAGGGGAUCUGCAGCUCGUCGCCGUGUGCCAGAGGAGAGGUCUGCUCUCUGCAGAUUGUUUCAAGGAUGGGGGCCAACAACGCAUCACGGGAGGUAAUCCAUGUGCGGGAGAUCUUCAUCUCCUACUUCUUUGAAGAGGGUGCUGUUCCCUGGCAACACCAUAGACUACACUAUGCACAACCAAAGGCUCUUUUAAGAGCCAUCCACAUUGAUAUAAGAGUAUUCUUCCAUUUACUUAGCUAUGUCUACUGCAGUUAUUCAAUUCCCAGUUUAUUUCUACUUCUCAGGUAAGGGCUCUUUGUCUGUACAAAAUCAAAACAGGAUAUUUUAAGAGUCACCCAUUGAUUUAAAAAAAUAAAAAAUACAAUUAACACCCUUACAACCCACACCUACACACUCGUGUAUCAAUCUGAUUGAGGAUUGUGUUAUGCAGCAAGCAGGCUCAGGUGUAUAACUGGCUCCUUCCAUCUUCAAAAGAAUAAGAGGACCAACCAUGGAGAAUAGUAAGACACUUCAUUAUUUAUAUAACUACUCUGUUAUAGUUUGUCCUCAUGUGUCUGCAUGUUUUUAAGUAUAAAUAAAUCUGCUGCCACAUAGUGUGGACACCAGGACACACAGGUUCCUGUUGAACACUGUCUUUUUAAUGACCUCUUCUCAAUAUCAGUCUCUCUCCUUCACUUCACAGACUUCUUCUCCCUAAAUCCUCUAGGUUAUAUCAGCUGUGUCUGUAAACCCCUCCCGUAUCUGAACUGUUUACAUAGAGGGCACAGUAUGAUCAGAGUUGAGACUUGGUCGGGUCAACAGGAAGUAUUAUUAAAGAUAUGCUUUACAUUGAAGUACAGAUAGAGAUGUAGUAGUCCCAGAGUGUCACGCCUUGGUCAUUGUAUUUUGUGUUUUCGUUAUAUAUUUGGUCAGGCCACGGUGUGACAUGGGUUUAUAUAUUGUAAUUUCGUAUUGGGGUUUGUAGUAUUUGGGAUUGCGGCUGAGUAGGGGUGUUGUAUAGGCUUGGCUGCCUGAGGCGGUUCUCAAUCAGUCAGGUGAUUCUCGUUGUCUCUGAUUGGGAACCGUAUUUAGGUAGCCGGGGUUUCACUGUGUAUUCCGUGGGUGAUUGUUCCUGUCUCUGUGUAGUUUCACCAGAUAGGCUGUAAUUAGGUUUCACGGUCCGUUUUGUUGUUUUGCAUAGUUAUUUCAUGUAUCGCUCUUCCUUCAUUAAAGACAUGAGUAACCACCGCUGCAUUUCGGUCCGACUCUCUUUUGACAAACGAAGAACGCCGUUACACAGAGUUAAUGAUCCACGGUCAGUUUUGUAUUUCACAUGCUGAUUAUGAUGACUGACAGUGUUCGCAUGAUUAAGCCUUGUGUUUUUUUAAUUCUAUCUUUCUAUGCAUCUGUGUCUCGUCUGCAGGUAUGUUUUGAUGAGAGAGGAAGCCAACGUCCAGUCCCGUCAUCGCCACCUCACCCGCUCUUAAGAUAACCUUCGGGCCAAUUGGGGGCCCAAGGCUGGUUAGGAGACACCACUAGAUACACUUAUGUAAUUGUGAUGAACUGAGAGAAUAUUAGAGUAGCACUGUAAUUCAUUAAUCUUAUGCUGUCUUCCCUGCUCCUCUUACCUAUUUCUGUUUCUCUCCCUUACUCUCACACCUUCUUUCUUCCUCACUGUGUUUUAUAAUGCACACCAGAUGUGCAUUGAAGUACAGAUUGAACUUGUGUUUAUAAUAUUACAAUUAUAAUAUAAUGCAUGUAUUGUAUUAUGUAUUUAUAACACUUGGAUAAUGAACCUUUUUUAAUAAAAUGUUUCACAUUC